AUUGAACGCUGGCGGCAGGCCUAACACAUGCAAGUCGAACGUGAAAGCUCCUUCGGGAGUGAGUAGAGUGGCGAACGGGUGAGUAACGCGUAGGAAUCUACCCAAGAGUGGGGGACAACCCGGAGAAAUCCGGGCUAAUACCGCAUACGCCCUACGGGGUAAAGUGGGGGACCUUUCGAGGCCUCAUGCUUUUGGAUGAGCCUGCGUCGGAUUAGCUUGUUGGUGGGGUAACGGCCUACCAAGGCAACGAUCCGUAGCUGGUCUGAGAGGAUGACCAGCCACACUGGGACUGAGACACGGCCCAGACUCCUACGGGAGGCAGCAGUGGGGAAUAUUGGACAAUGGGGGCAACCCUGAUCCAGCCAUGCCGCGUGUGUGAAGAAGGCCUUCGGGUUGUAAAGCACUUUCAGUAGGGAAGAAAAGCCUAAGGUUAAUAACUUUGGGUAUUGACGGUACCUACACAAGAAGCACCGGCUAAUUCCGUG
rnacentral:rRNA from 1 species